rnacentral:rRNA from 1 species
AUUGAACGCUGGCGGAAUGCUUUACACAUGCAAGUCGAACGGCAGCACGGGGCAACCUGGUGGCGAGUGGCGAACGGGUGAGUAAUACAUCGGAACGUGCCCAAUCGUGGGGGAUAACGUAGCGAAAGUUACGCUAAUACCGCAUACGAUCUACGGAUGAAAGCGGGGGAUCGCAAGACCUCGCGCGAUUGGAGCGGCCGAUGUCAGAUUAGGUAGUUGGUGGGGUAAAGGCUCACCAAGCCGACGAUCUGUAGCUGGUCUGAGAGGACGACCAGCCACACUGGGACUGAGACACGGCCCAGACUCCUACGGGAGGCAGCAGUGGGGAAUUUUGGACAAUGGGCGCAAGCCUGAUCCAGCCAUUCCGCGUGCAGGAUGAAGGCCUUCGGGUUGUAAACUGCUUUUGUACGGAACGAAACGGUUCUCUCUAAUACAGGGGGCUAAUGACGGUACCGUAAGAAUAAGCACCGGCUAACUACGUG